CAACCCUCAAGCUUUGCUUGGUAUUGGGCCUCGCUGCGAAAGCGGCGGGCCUUAAACUCAGUGGCGGUGCCAUCUGGCUCUAAGCGUAGUAAUAUCUCUCGCUAUAGGGUCCCGGUGGAUGCUUGCCAGCAUCCCCAAAUUUUCUAU
rnacentral:misc_RNA from 1 species